rnacentral:rRNA from 1 species
GAUGAACGCUGGCGGCGUGCCUAAUACAUGCAAGUCGAGCGAACAGACGAGGAGCUUGCUCCUCUGACGUUAGCGGCGGACGGGUGAGUAACACGUGGAUAACCUACCUAUGAGACUGGGAUCACUUCGGGAAACCGGAGCUAAUACCGGAUAAUAUAUUGAACCGCAUGGUUCAAUAGUGAAAGACGGUUUUGCUGUCACUGAUAGAUGGAUCCGCGCCGCAUUAGCUAGUUGGUAAGGUAACGGCUUACCAAGGCAACGAUGCGUAGCCGACCUGAGAGGGUGAUCGGCCACACUGGAACUGAGACACGGUCCAGACUCCUACGGGAGGCAGCAGUAGGGAAUCUUCCGCAAUGGGCGAAAGCCUGACGGAGCAACGCCGCGUGAGUGAUGAAGGUCUUCGGAUCGUAAAACUCUGUUAUUAGGGAAGAACAAAUGUGUAAGUAACUAUGCACGUCUUGACGGUACCUAAUCAGAAAGCCACGGCUAACUACGUG